rnacentral:pre_miRNA from 1 species
UCUCAUAGGUGGGCAAAGAAAGUGGUUUCUUUAGAUAGAAUCUAUUUGUGGUGAAGAUGCUGUGAA